GACGAACGCUGGCGGCGUGCUUAACACAUGCAAGUCGAACGGAAAGGCCCUGCUUUUGUGGGGUGCUCGAGUGGCGAACGGGUGAGUAACACGUGAGUAACCUGCCCUUGACUUUGGGAUAACUUCAGGAAACUGGGGCUAAUACCGGAUAGGAGCUCCUGCUGCAUGGUGGGGGUUGGAAAGUUUCGGCGGUUGGGGAUGGACUCGCGGCUUAUCAGCUUGUUGGUGGGGUAGUGGCUUACCAAGGCUUUGACGGGUAGCCGGCCUGAGAGGGUGACCGGCCACAUUGGGACUGAGAUGCGGCCCAGACUCCUACGGGAGGCAGCAGUGCGGAAUAUUGCACAAUGGGCGGAAGCCUGAUGCAGCAACGCCGCGUGCGGGAUGACGGCCUUCGGGUUGUAAACCGCUUUCGCCUGUGACGAAGCGUGAGUGACGGUAAUGGGUAAAGAAGCACCGGCUAACUACGUG
rnacentral:rRNA from 1 species